CCGGAGAGUAGGGUAUUUGUCUUACACGUACAGCUAGCUCUGCAUCUCAGAGUUGGCAAUUUUGCACCAUCAUUCGAAGGAAAGAGAAAAGAUGAUCAAAAUACAGUUCUCAAUGAUGUACAUCAAUGGCGAAAUUUCCUGGGGGACAGGGUAACCCAUUGACAAGCCCCCAACUGGAUAUGUAUUGGCUAUUGCCCAUCCUUUUGACUUUUUGCUUUCAGAAUUACAAUGCUCAUUCAAGGAACCUUAAUUGCAUUAUCCUCGUAUAAAUAAAUGUUGCAGGCAACCCUUAUCUCCUACCAUUAUCUCUUUCAACUGGAAAAUGAAAAUAAAAAUGGCAAAAAGCUUCAUCUUCUUGAUCUUGGCUUUGCUUCUGCUAUCCACAGCACAAAGCAGACCACUGUCAACCACAAAUCGGCAACAAGCUGAUGGAUGCCAUUUUCUUCACCGGAAUCAAGUUUCACUGAUGAUGAUGAGUGCAGAGGUUUGAAUGGUGAAGAAUGUCUGAUUAAAAGGUCCUUGAUUGCUCAUACUGAUUAUAUUUACACCCAAAGAAACGUAGGACCAUGAUUUUUUUUUUUUUAUGUUUCCAUAUGUACUGUUAAUUUAAAACUUAGAAGUAAUCAAAGAUGUUUUGAACUAGUGCUUAAUUUUGAUCUUGCCAUGAUUGUAACACCCCGAACUCGAGACCAUCGCCGGUGUCGGACACGAGGGGUUAACAAGCCAAGUUCACAUAUUUUGCCCCCCAAUUUGACAUUUCCAGUCAGGCUGGAAAACUGCGUCACCAUCGCCUUAAAAAUCAUAUCUCGAGUUUCAAAACUCGGAAACUGGUUUCGUAAAUUUUCCCUGUAUUUAGACUCAUAUAUCCAUCCAUGGAUUUAUUUCUAGAAUUUUUUGUUGGGCCAA